GAAAGAGGGUGAACUAGCAGCAGAACUCUAAUCCAGGGAUUCCUGCUGAGAAAGAAGAAGAGAAACACAAAUGUAUGAACAACAACGUCAGAUGUUUCUAUAUAAAGAGUAAAUAAAGCAG